GCGAAUAUAACUCAGAGGUAGAGUGUAAUUUUGCCAAAAUUAUAGUCGCGUGUUCAAAUCACGUUAUUCGCU
rnacentral:tRNA from 1 species